AACGGCCGUACCAUGCUGAAUAUACCGGUUCUCGUUAGAUCACCGAAGUCAAGCAUCAUUGGGCGCGGUCAGUACUUGGGUGGGUGACCACCUGGGAACACCGCGUGCCGUU